GUUUGUUUGCAGUAAGUGGCUCGUACUUGUAUCCCCUUAUCUGUCAGCUAGUCUUAUACUUAUCCAUAAAAUAAAUAAAGUAAAAAUAAAGUAAAAACAGUGUGGUUGUCACAACCUACCCCACGACCUGGUAGAGUGUACUGGCGUUUGAAAACAAGAGCAUUUUUAAUUAAUCUACUGAGACUGCCUGCACUUGGCUGUAUUGCCCACACCCUGCUAAUACAGUCCUCUGGUGUUACAUGGAAGAAAGAAAGCCUUAUGGGACCAACACGAGGAUCUGGAACAAACUGCAACAACACGUCACCUCCCUGCCUGUCACAAAAAUAAGGUAUAUCUGAAAAAAAAAAACUGAGUCAAUGCAUUAUUUGUGGACUGAAGGAGAUGUUGGCUAUAAAGUAGUCGUGAAGAUGCAGAGGCAUAACUUUUCCUUUAUGUCGCUGCACUGUCAUCAUACUGCCCUGCAGUUACAGAAAUGGCUCAUUGUGAUGGGACAGAUUGUUCAUGAAUAUUGAAUCGAUCCUUUUGGCUUUUAUAAAUUAGAAAUCGCUCUUGCCACACUCAUGUGAGCGUCUUGUUGGAUGACUUGGAGGGAUAUCGCUGCAAAAUGGCAUGCGGGGCUCUGCCAUGUCGGGGCAGGGAAGACAAACAGGCGGUGUGUUUGAGAAAAUUGGAUACACAUUUAAAGUUUAAACGCUGAGUGACGUCCAUAGUUAACAUCUCAUGUGACUCCCAGCAUGAGAGUUCUGCUUCUGUGUUUGUUUGGAUGUAAUUUAGACGUCAGUACGUGUUGGGCUAAAUGAAGAGAGUUACUGGAGCGUGGUUCAUGGCUUUAUGUCUUUGUACAUGUUUGAAUUUUGAUCUUCAUGAAUUGGUGUCAUUCCCUCAGGACAGAAAAAAGAGAAAAUAUAUGUUUGAUAAUUUAUUCAUCUCAAACAUCUUGCCAAAGAUUUAUGACAUAAAUUGUGCACAAAGGAUUCUAUCCAAUCCUCAUUAGCAGUCAAUUAAAUAAAAUACUCUUAGAAAAUAAACAUAUAUGCUUAUAUGUGAUUAACAAAGCUUAAUACGUGUUACCGCUCUAAUUUUUUGGCGCUCAGUCAUCGCAUACAUUUCUGGAUGGUUUUGAAAUCUCUUGCGUGACA